AUACGGAGGAUCCGAGCGUUAUCCGGAUUUAUUGGGUUUAAAGGGUGCGCAGGCGGGAGAUUAAGUCGGCGGUGAAAUUUUGCAGCUCAACUGUAAAAAUGCCUUCGAAACUGGUUUCCUUGAGUGUAGAUGAAGUAGGCGGAAUUUGUGGUGUAGCGGUGAAAGGCAUAGAUAUCACGAGGAACUCCGAUUGCGCAGGCAGCUUACGAAACCACUACUGACGCUCAGGCACGAAGGCGUGGGGAUCAAACAGGAUUAGAUACCCUGGUAGUCCACGCAGUAAACGAUGAUUACUAGCUGUUUGCGAUACAAUGUAAGCGGCUGAGCGAAAGCGUUCAGUAAUCCCCCUGGGGAGUACGUUCGCAAGAAUGAAACUCAAAGGAAUUGACGGGG
rnacentral:rRNA from 1 species